UCUGAGGUACCCCCCGCUCUGGACCUGA
rnacentral:misc_RNA from 1 species